GGCACAGGUAAUGCUUAACUCGUAUUGAAACCUGCGCCAACGGCGGCGCGGCACCAGGACAAAGGCGUCUU
rfam:Methylococcus capsulatus str. Bath, complete genome.